GUGAUCACUUUGGCAGCACACAUACUAAAAUUGGAGCAUAGAGAGAAAAUUAGCAUGGCCAUUAUGAAAGAAUGACAUGCAUAUUCAUGAAGUUUUUGUUAUUUUG